rnacentral:rRNA from 1 species
AACGAACGCUGGCGGCAUGCCUAACACAUGCAAGUCGAACGAGACCUUCGGGUCUAGUGGCGCACGGGUGCGUAACGCGUGGGAACCUGCCCUUAGGUUCGGAAUAACUCCCCGAAAGGGGUGCUAAUACCGGAUAAUGUCUUCGGACCAAAGAUUUAUCGCCUUUGGAUGGGCCCGCGUUGGAUUAGCUAGUUGGUAGGGUAAAAGCCUACCAAGGCGACGAUCCAUAGCUGGUCUGAGAGGAUGAUCAGCCACACUGGGACUGAGACACGACCCAGACUCCUACGGGAGGCAGCAGUGAGGAAUAUUGGACAAUGGGCGAAAGCCUGAUCCAGCAAUGCCGCGUGAGUGAUGAAGGCCUUAGGGUUGUAAAGCUCUUUUACCCGGGAUGAUAAUGACGGUACCGGGAGAAUAAGCUCCGGCUAACUCCGUG